rnacentral:misc_RNA from 1 species
UAGUUUCAAUGAAGAAUGUGAUGGAAACUCAAAGAUAGAGAGAGAAGAGGGCGAAUUAUCACCAACAGGAGAACUUGAGGAUAACUUUUCAAAUUAUCAAGAAGUUAGUCUUGAUAAAGCAAAAGACAGCGCCGUGGGCAGGCAAUGUUUCAGAACUCACGCAGACAAAAUAUCUUGCAGGGAUGUGACAAGGGAAACUCAUAUAGAUGCUGAUGAUGAAGGGGAGGAAAGUGCUAGACGGUCAUCAGAAGACAGCGAAAAUG